rnacentral:rRNA from 1 species
AACGAACGCUGGCGGCAGGCUUAACACAUGCAAGUCGAACGCCCCGCAAGGGGAGUGGCAGACGGGUGAGUAACGCGUGGGAACGUGCCCUUCGCAUCGGAAUAGCCCCGGGAAACUGGGAGUAAUACCGAAUACGCCGUAUUGGGAAAGAUUUAUCGGCGAAGGAUCGGCCCGCGUUAGAUUAGCUAGUUGGCGGUGUAAUGGACCACCAAGGCUACGAUCUAUAGCUGGUCUGAGAGGAUGAUCAGCCACACUGGGACUGAGACACGGCCCAGACUCCUACGGGAGGCAGCAGUGGGGAAUCUUGGACAAUGGGCGCAAGCCUGAUCCAGCCAUGCCGCGUGAGUGAAGAAGGCCUUAGGGUUGUAAAACUCUUUCGCCGGAGAAGAUAAUGACGGUAUCCGGAGAAGAAGCCCCGGCUAACUUCGUGCCAGCCGCCGCGGUAAAAC